GGGCGGGGAGGGGAGGGCGGCUGGGGUGCGGGGGUCCGAGACUCGCUCUUCUGUCCCCUCCAAGAUCCGGCCACAGGCAUGAGGGGCCCCCGGCAGAGAUGACAGUGCUGGCGCCAGCCUGGAGCCCUACGUCGCUGCUGCUGCUGCUGCUGCCGCUGCUCAGCCCCGGCCUCCCAGGGAGCCCCGGCUGCUCCUUCAAGCACAGCCCCGUCUCCUCCACCUUCUCCGACAAAAUCCUCAAGCUGACCAAGUACCUGCUCCAAGAUUACCCGGUCACUGUCCCCUCCAACCUGCAGGACGACGAGAUCUGCGGAGCCUUCUGGAGGCUGGUCCUGGCCCAGCGCUGGAUGGGUCGGCUCCAGACCGUGGCCGGGUCCGAGAUGCAAAAGCUGUUGGAGGAGGUCGACACCGAGAUCUCCUUUGUCACCUCCUGUGCCUUCCAGCCCCUCCCCAGCUGCCUUCGCUUCGUCCAGACCAACAUCUCCCACCUCCUGCAGGACACCUCCCGGCAGCUGGAUGCCCUGAGGCUCGGGAUCACCGGCAGGAAUUUCUCCCAGUGCCUGGAGGUGCAGUGUCAGCCCGACUCCUCCACCCUGCAGCCCCUGAGGACCCCCGGCGCCUUGGGGUCCAUGGAGCCGCCCGCCCCCGCGGCCUCGCCGCUGCUCCUCCUGCUGCUGCCCCUGUUGCCCGCGCUGCUGGCGGCCGCCUGGUGCCUGCGGCGGCGGGCGACUCCCCGCCCUGCGGAGCCGGUGCACCCCGUUUCCAGCCCCCGGGAGCAGCUGGUGUAGCCUGGACUCACCUGGUCAAUAAAAUGGAAAAAAUGGCCACCAGGAGCAGUGGAUUCAUAGUGUCACCACUGAGCCCCAGUGAUAACCCCAGAGACAAACACAAGAUGGAAAUAGCGUCAUUGCAGCGGCGUGUGCAGCUCCCAGACAUGCCGCCUCAAAUCUCGACGUCUCUACAAACCACACCACAGCCACCAAGCACGGCGCGUCUAGUUUCCACCCACCAACAGCUGCUCGAACCCGCACCCCACCUGGUCCACACCCUUGUUACUCCACUUUGCUUGUCAGAAACUAAGGAGAUUUGGUUUUUAACUAGAGCACUGUUCACAUCUGGCUUUUGGUGGAGCUGGGGACUGAACCUGGGAACUCAAAGCCUCAGGCAUGAAUGUCUUCUCCAGGACCAGUCUGCUGUCUCCCCAGCCCUCUGACUAUUUCCCUCAAAACUCCUCCAUCAUAUUACAGAUGUGAGCUGCGGUGUUAAUUGUGCUCUUCUGGACGAGAGCCCCAGACACAGCUCACCUGGGGGCUGUACCUGCUUUGCUCUGGCGGUGACUCAGGCUGGGGCCCAGCCCCCCACCCAGUUGGAGAAAGUGACUUACUUGGACCAGGUGGUGGCGCACUGGGAUAAAUGCACAGGUUGCCACGCGCAAGGACCGGGGUUCGAGCCUCCACUCUCCACCUGCAGGGGGGAUGCUUCACUAGAUGUAAAGCAGGCCUGCAGGGUCAUCGCUGGGGCUCCGCGCCUGCACUAGAGAUCCACUGCUCCUGGAGGAUCCUCCUAGGGCCGAGACCCUCACCGUGAACGGAGCCCUCACGUAAAUGGCGGUUUGGGGCACCAGGUCUGUGCCCGGCUUUGAGCUUGGUGCUACCCUCUGCUCCGUCCGGGAAACUCCAGCCACCCAGCGGGACGGAGGAGUCUCUCGUCCCAUUUUACGGAGGGCACGGAAGCCCUGAGGAGUCACCCGGCAGAGGACACAGGGCCGGGCCUGCGAGGACGUCGGCUGGGGUUAGGCCUCGCCGGUUCCCUCUCUCUCUCUCCUGAGGACGGAGGCCACAUCGGCUCCAGGGCCCACCUGCCCGCUUUGCACAGAGUCCUCCUCUCUGGGACAAUGUAUAUAAAUCAUCUUUUUCUACCA